GGGAAUCUGGGUGGGUGAGAUCAUCAGCCAGGACACAGAGAAGUUUGAGGUUACACACAUCAACUCACUGCACCAGGAAGCCUCUGUUUCCUGUUCAGGGGCAGCAGCAGUUUGGAGCCCAGUGGUUCCUCCUUCACCCUGUCAGGCUCCCCUCCCAGGGCAGAGCCCUGAAGUCAAAGAAGAAUUUCUUCUGAAGGAAAAAGGCAAACAUGGUGCUGCCCAGGCUGCUGAAGCUGCUCAUGGCAUCAAUGUGGCUGGGAUCCAGUUUUGCCCAGAAGGUGACUCAGGCCCAGCCAGCCAUGUGGGUGCAGGAGAAGGAGGAUGUGAGCCUGCUCUGCUCCUAUGACACCAGUGAUGCACGUUAUAGUCUCCUCUGGUACAAGCAGCCCAGCAGUGGGGAGAUGGUCUUCCUCAUCCGUCAGAACUCUUAUGGUCGGGAAAAUGCCACAGAAGGCCACUACUCAGUGAAUUUGCAGAAGGCAAGCAAAUCCAUCCAGCUUGUCAUCUCAGCCUCACAGCUGGGGGACUCAGCGGUGUAUUUCUGUGCACUGAGAGAGGGCACAGUGGGAGGACUGUGGGGGGAGGUGCACAAAAACCCAGGGUCUGCCUGAGACAGCCACCUGUUG